rnacentral:sRNA from 1 species
AGAAAGUUUGUGUAACGUUACAAGUUAACCGACAGUGUUAGUAAAUGGAUCUACAAACAGACACGUAAUUAAAUAUAAAGUUUUCGUGUAUCUCGAACCCGAUCACCUGUAUGGGAGUGGAAGUUGCUAAAAUGCGGAACAGGAACGCUGAAGGACGGUACACAGAGAUAUUACGUGUUUUCGCUUGACACAUUGAGUUGUACAUCAAUCCAUGAUGCACGUUAUUACUGUACAGUAUACAUUGUAUUGGAACCUCAAGUAUUUAUAUGAUUAAUAAUCUAUUGUAGUGUUUCCCCGACUAAAUCCCAUUUUUUUGGAGAU